rnacentral:piRNA from 1 species
UUUUCUGAACCAACUACAAAA